GUCAUCUCAUUUUUUUCCCUUUCAUUUCUCCAUUGCUCUCUUUUCUCCGACAAAAUCGGGGCAUCAGGGGUGAGAGAUACCGAUGUUGUGGUUCAGAGCAAAUCUAGCGAUGAAAUCGGGAAAGUGAGAGAUACCGACGAUGCGAUCUCGCUACUGGAAAAUCAACUGGUGACAUCUUCUUCACAGCUUCUCAUGGUCCUCUCACCUUGAUUCAGGGAGCUGUCUCCAAAGGAGCUUUUUGCCUGGAUGGAACAUUACCUGGUUAUCAUCUACACCGCGGUUCUGGAUAAGGGGCUAACCGCUGGCUCAUCCAACUUGAGGGUGGAGGAUGGUGCAACACACGUAGGAGCUGUAUCUUCCGGAAAACCACUGGGCGUGGUUCAUCAAAUUAUAUGGAGAAAGUUUUGGCCUUCACUGAAAUUUUGAGUGAUAAGGCUGAUGAGAAUCCUGAUUUCUUCAACUGGAACAGAGUUAAAUUGCGUUACUGUGAUGGUGCUUCUUUCACAGGCGAUAGUGCAGUGUGGACGAGUAUAAAGACGUCAAAUUAUCCCAUGGUUGAAGCCACGAUAGGUGAUUCAAGGGAAGUAGACGAAGAGGCAAAGGAGUGGGAGCACAAGCUCUUGCAAAAUAGUAUGGACAAAGAGUUGCAUGAACUGAACCGCCGUCUAGAGGAAAAAGAGGUCUCUUUUGCUUGUUUACUUUUUAUGCACUGAAAUUUCUUAGGGGGUUGAGAUUUGUUCUUGUCCAUAACUACAUAGUCCUUGUAUGAAACUGUCUGAAAUGAAGCUACAUAUUUU